AUUAUUUUUUGUUCAGUUAUUUUCACUUUCAUUUAUAAAAAAUGUCAUCUAUUGAAGAAAUUACUCUGAAUGGAAUGUUGAUAUCUCAAAUAGUUGUACCAAUGUGAUGGUGCCUGCUUUUUCCGUUCAAUUUCCUUUCAUUUGUUUAACACUCAAGAAAGAUGCCAGGAGAUCCGAAAUUCAAUUCUUGUGUAUGUCUCUGGUAAUUGGAAUACCUAUUAAUAUGUCUUACAAUUUGUAUGGUGACAACUUUUCCACUGCUGAAGAUGUUUGUGAUAUGGGCAAUCCUACUGUCUAUACUCACUAAAAUUGUGCAAUGGACACGUCUACAGAUCAUUGGUCUACAAAAGAAUUGUAUAGAAGCUAUUAUCAUGACUGGAUCUACAAAAUGUGAAUCAGUUUUCAUUCCUCACACACCAAUGAUACUAUCAGAUUAUCCUUUCCAAUUCAAGAGAAUGCAGUUUCCUUAAAAAGUAUGUUUUGCUAUGACGAUAAAUAAAUCACAAGGGCAAACCUUGAAAUUAGCAGGGAUCGAUAUAAGAGAAGAUUAUUUUUCACAUGGCCAAUUGUAUGUUCCAGAGUCAGUAAGCCCACAAGUUUAGUUAUUUUGGCACCAACAGGAAUUACAGUUGAAUGGAACUAGAGAUGCAAAAACAGGAAAACAAAAUUUAAAUUGCAUGAAAUUUCUGACCACUACUUGACUGCCAACUUAAGAUGGUCAGCUUAUAAAAACUCAGUGAAAAAUGGUGAUGUUAUAGCAAAGAUUUCUACUGCUCUUCAAAAAGAAAUACAAACAAAUAGAAUGUACAUUAUAUGUUUAAUUUAUAUUGUUUUAUAUCUUGGCAGACAAGGAACAGCGUUUAGAGGACACAAGAUGAGACAUCAGUUAAUAAGGGUAAUUUUAAAGAAAUGUGUGAAUUUUUAUCAAAACAUAAUUCAGAGUUUUGCUAUGUAUAUAAAAAUACCUUAUUGAACCAUACAAGUUGGAGUAUACAAAAUGAACUGAUAGAGACGUGUGCUACAAAUGUUAAAUCUACCAUUAUACAAGAAAUUAUAAAUUGUGGAAUGUUCAGUAUCUAG